rnacentral:tRNA from 1 species
GUGGAGCAGCUUGGUAGCUCGUCGGGCUCAUAACCCGAAGGUCGUCGGUUCAAAUCCGGCC